GCCCACGAAGUAGCCGCUACACCAAAGUGCAAAUUUGGAGACGCACCUUAGAAGGUGCCGGGGCUUC
rnacentral:tRNA from 1 species